rnacentral:rRNA from 1 species
GACGAACGCUGGCGGCGUGCUUAACACAUGCAAGUCGAACGGAAAGGCCCUGCUUUUGUGGGGUGCUCGAGUGGCGAACGGGUGAGUAACACGCGAGUAACCUGCCCUUGACUUUGGGAUAACUUCAGGAAACUGGGGCUAAUACCGGAUAGGAGCUCCUGCUGCAUGGGGGGGGUUGGAAAGUUUCGGCGGUUGGGGAUGGACUCGCGGCUUAUCAGCUUGUUGGUGGGGUAGUGGCUUACCAAGGCUUUGACGGGUAGCCGGCCUGAGAGGGUGACCGGCCACAUUGGGCCUGAGGUACGGCCCAGACUCCUACGGGAGGCAGCAGUGGGGAAUAUUGCACAAUGGGCGGAAGCCUGAUGCAGCAACGCCGCGUGCGGGAUGACGGCCUUCGGGUUGUAAACCGCUUUCGCCUGUGACGAAGCGUGAGUGACGGUAAUGGGUAAAGAAGCACCGGCUAACUACGUG